GGAGUCUUGAACAAAGGAGGUGCUCUUCCAUCCUUCAUUUUGACAAGGGAUCUACUUCGGGUUGAUCUCCAUCAUGACACACAGAGGCUUAUAUGGCGCAUGAUACUGAUGUUGAUAGCAAGCUCCAAGAGAUGAACCAACUAAUCAAGACAUUACAUCAUCAAGCCUUAGAUUGAAAUGAUGGAAUCGAUUUUCGUAUCGAUUCAUCCUUCAACAACAGGAUCAUGUAGCAGAUGCUGCUCGUCCACUUCAAGAUGCCAUAAUUAGCAAUCUUCGAUGGGUCGACUAAUCUGG
rnacentral:lncRNA from 1 species